CGAACGCUGGCGGCAGGCCUAAUACAUGCAAGUCGAACGGCUCUUCGGAGCAGUGGCGGACGGGUGAGUAACGCGUGGGAAUGUGCCCUUUGGUACGGAACAACACAGGGAAACUUGUGCUAAUACCGUAUGUGCCCUUCGGGGGAAAGAUUUAUCGCCAUUGGAGCAGCCCGCGUUGGAUUAGGUAGUUGGUGAGGUAAAGGCUCACCAAGCCGACGAUCCGUAGCUGGUCUGAGAGGAUGAUCAGCCACACUGGGACUGAGACACGGCCCAGACUCCUACGGGAGGCAGCAGUAGGGAAUCUUGCGCAAUGGGCGAAAGCCUGACGCAGCCAUGCCGCGUGUAUGAUGAAGGUCUUAGGAUUGUAAAAUACUUUCACCGGGGAAGAUAAUGACUGUAGCCGGAGAAGAAGCCCCGGCUAACUUCGUGCCAGCCGCCGCGGUAACAC
rnacentral:rRNA from 1 species